rnacentral:rRNA from 1 species
GUUAAGCGACUAAGCGUACACGGUGGAUGCCCUGGCAGUCAGAGGCGAUGAAGGACGUGCUAAUCUGCGAUAAGCGUCGGUAAGGUGAUAUGAACCGUUAUAACCGGCGAUUUCCGAAUGGGGAAACCCAGUGUGUUUCGACACACUAUCAUUAACUGAAUCCAUAGGUUAAUGAGGCGAACCGGGGGAACUGAAACAUCUAAGUACCCCGAGGAAAAGAAAUCAACCGAGAUUCCCCCAGUAGCGGCGAGCGAACGGGGAGCAGCCCAGAGCCUGAAUCAGUGUGUGUGUUAGUGGAAGCGUCUGGAAAGGCGCGCGAUACAGGGUGACAGCCCCGUACACAAAAAUGCACAUGCUGUGAGCUCGAUGAGUAGGGCGGGACACGUGGUAUCCUGUCUGAAUAUGGGGGGACCAUCCUCCAAGGCUAAAUACUCCUGACUGACCGAUAGUGAACCAGUACCGUGAGGGAAAGGCGAAAAGAACCCCGGCGAGGGGAGUGAAAAAGAACCUGAAACCGUGUACGUACAAGCAGUGGGAGCACGCUUAGGCGUGUGACUGCGUACCUUUUGUAUAAUGGGUCAGCGACUUAUAUUCUGUAGCAAGGUUAACCGAAUAGGGGAGCCGAAGGGAAACCGAGUCUUAACUGGGCGUUAAGUUGCAGGGUAUAGACCCGAAACCCGGUGAUCUAGCCAUGGGCAGGUUGAAGGUUGGGUAACACUAACUGGAGGACCGAACCGACUAAUGUUGAAAAAUUAGCGGAUGACUUGUGGCUGGGGGUGAAAGGCCAAUCAAACCGGGAGAUAGCUGGUUCUCCCCGAAAGCUAUUUAGGUAGCGCCUCGUGAAUUCAUCUCCGGGGGUAGAGCACUGUUUCGGCAAGGGGGUCAUCCCGACUUACCAACCCGAUGCAAACUGCGAAUACCGGAGAAUGUUAUCACGGGAGACACACGGCGGGUGCUAACGUCCGUCGUGAAGAGGGAAACAACCCAGACCGCCAGCUAAGGUCCCAAAGUCAUGGUUAAGUGGGAAACGAUGUGGGAAGGCCCAGACAGCCAGGAUGUUGGCUUAGAAGCAGCCAUCAUUUAAAGAAAGCGUAAUAGCUCACUGGUCGAGUCGGCCUGCGCGGAAGAUGUAACGGGGCUAAACCAUGCACCGAAGCUGCGGCAGCGACACUAUGUGUUGUUGGGUAGGGGAGCGUUCUGUAAGCCUGCGAAGGUGUGCUGUGAGGCAUGCUGGAGGUAUCAGAAGUGCGAAUGCUGACAUAAGUAACGAUAAAGCGGGUGAAAAGCCCGCUCGCCGGAAGACCAAGGGUUCCUGUCCAACGUUAAUCGGGGCAGGGUGAGUCGACCCCUAAGGCGAGGCCGAAAGGCGUAGUCGAUGGGAAACAGGUUAAUAUUCCUGUACUUGGUGUUACUGCGAAGGGGGGACGGAGAAGGCUAUGUUGGCCGGGCGACGGUUGUCCCGGUUUAAGCGUGUAGGCUGGUUUUCCAGGCAAAUCCGGAAAAUCAAGGCUGAGGCGUGAUGACGAGGCACUACGGUGCUGAAGCAACAAAUGCCCUGCUUCCAGGAAAAGCCUCUAAGCAUCAGGUAACAUCAAAUCGUACCCCAAACCGACACAGGUGGUCAGGUAGAGAAUACCAAGGCGCUUGAGAGAACUCGGGUGAAGGAACUAGGCAAAAUGGUGCCGUAACUUCGGGAGAAGGCACGCUGAUAUGUAGGUGAAGUCCCUCGCGGAUGGAGCUGAAAUCAGUCGAAGAUACCAGCUGGCUGCAACUGUUUAUUAAAAACACAGCACUGUGCAAACACGAAAGUGGACGUAUACGGUGUGACGCCUGCCCGGUGCCGGAAGGUUAAUUGAUGGGGUUAGCCGCAAGGCGAAGCUCUUGAUCGAAGCCCCGGUAAACGGCGGCCGUAACUAUAACGGUCCUAAGGUAGCGAAAUUCCUUGUCGGGUAAGUUCCGACCUGCACGAAUGGCGUAAUGAUGGCCAGGCUGUCUCCACCCGAGACUCAGUGAAAUUGAACUCGCUGUGAAGAUGCAGUGUACCCGCGGCAAGACGGAAAGACCCCGUGAACCUUUACUAUAGCUUGACACUGAACAUUGAGCCUUGAUGUGUAGGAUAGGUGGGAGGCUUUGAAGUGUGGACGCCAGUCUGCAUGGAGCCGACCUUGAAAUACCACCCUUUAAUGUUUGAUGUUCUAACGUUGACCCGUAAUCCGGGUUGCGGACAGUGUCUGGUGGGUAGUUUGACUGGGGCGGUCUCCUCCUAAAGAGUAACGGAGGAGCACGAAGGUUGGCUAAUCCUGGUCGGACAUCAGGAGGUUAGUGCAAUGGCAUAAGCCAGCUUGACUGCGAGCGUGACGGCGCGAGCAGGUGCGAAAGCAGGUCAUAGUGAUCCGGUGGUUCUGAAUGGAAGGGCCAUCGCUCAACGGAUAAAAGGUACUCCGGGGAUAACAGGCUGAUACCGCCCAAGAGUUCAUAUCGACGGCGGUGUUUGGCACCUCGAUGUCGGCUCAUCACAUCCUGGGGCUGAAGUAGGUCCCAAGGGUAUGGCUGUUCGCCAUUUAAAGUGGUACGCGAGCUGGGUUUAGAACGUCGUGAGACAGUUCGGUCCCUAUCUGCCGUGGGCGCUGGAGAACUGAGGGGGGCUGCUCCUAGUACGAGAGGACCGGAGUGGACGCAUCACUGGUGUUCGGGUUGUCAUGCCAAUGGCACUGCCCGGUAGCUAAAUGCGGAAGAGAUAAGUGCUGAAAGCAUCUAAGCACGAAACUUGCC